UGCGCCGUCUGUUGUUUUCACGUAAAUCUCGCGAAAUGUUAUCGUUGUCCCCGCGUGUGUGACAAUCGGCAUUCGUGUGUAAUAUACGAUAUUUAUUAUAUUCUCGUGGUCGCGUGUGUCGGUGAUUACAGUGUGAGCAACUGGAGCAUCGUAAAAUUUUUAAAGGAUCUCUCUUGCUUGUGUGAUCAACGACGACCAACGAUGACAUACUACUGCAGUUUCCAGAGGAUGCCUGUCCUAGAAGAGCCAGUUCGGGCCAAGCAGGGUUGGCUCGACGAUUCAGCGGUAGCCGAGUAUGGCCAAUCCUGACUUCCAUUGUUGUGG